CCGCUCUCAGGGCCACACCUGGAGAGUUUCCAGUACUCUGUCAGUCUCAGCUAUGGGAGGGAGAGUGGAGCAGAGGCCUACCCAUUCCAUUCCUAGCUUGGCCAGUGGAUAGUGAGUGGAAGGCAAUCUGCUACAAGU
rfam:Ornithorhynchus anatinus chromosome 3, whole genome shotgun sequence.